GAUGAACGCUGGCGGCAGGCUUAACACAUGCAAGUCGAGCGGAGAUGAGGUGCUUGCACCUUAUCUUAGCGGCGGACGGGUGAGUAAUGCUUAGGAAUCUGCCUAUUAGUGGGGGACAACAUUCCGAAAGGAAUGCUAAUACCGCAUACGUCCUACGGGAGAAAGCAGGGGAUCUUCGGACCUUGCGCUAAUAGAUGGGCCUAAGUCGGAUUAGCUAGUUGGUGGGGUAAAGGCCUACCAAGGCGACGAUCAGUAGCUGGUCUGAGAGGAUGAUCAGCCUCACUGGGACUGAGACACGGCCCAGACUCCUACGGGAGGCAGCAGUGGGGAAUAUUGGACAAUGGGGGGAACCCUGAUCCAGCCAUGCCGCGUGUGUGAAGAAGGCCUUAUGGUUGUAAAGCACUUUAAGCGAGGAGGAGGCUCUUUUGGUUAAUACCCAAGAUGAGUGGACGUUACUCGCAGAAUAAGCACCGGCUAACUCUGUGCCAGCCGCCGCAGUAAUAC
rnacentral:rRNA from 1 species